CCCUUAGAUGUUCUGGGCGGCCCGCGCACUACAUUGGCACUCUCAAUAAGUUCCUAGAUCUAAAACUUUGGGGUAUUCUAUUAAGUGGUGUCGUGACUGGGAUUAACCCUUGCAAUUACUGGUUACGAACGAGGAAUUCCUUGUAAUCGCGGUUUAUCAGCCCGCGUUGAAUGCGUCCCUGCCCUUUGUACACACCGCCCGUCGCUCCUACCGAUGAAUCGUCCGGUGAAGUUCAUGGAGUGGUGGUUGUUCCAGCUGCUGUCGAAGUGAAAUGGACCUCACGAUUUAGAGGAAGGAGAAGUCGUAACA
rnacentral:rRNA from 1 species